CAGUGCAGGCCUUUUAGAGGACUCAUUAAAGCUUAAUCCAAGGAAAGUUCUCAUUAAACAGAAUUCUAAAGAAAGCUCCUGCCCCUGAAGUGAGCAUGUUUCUCCAGGACUGUUCAUCAUGCCCAGAAAACCUUAGCUCUGAAGCAGUGCUGUCCUAAACACUUGGGUUCAGCUAACAAUUUCAGCUAUGGAGUUCCUCAAUUCUGUUUUUUUUUUUUUUUUUUUUACCUUGCUGAGGGCCCUUGCUUUUCAGCAGAGGAGAGAUUGCUCCUUGCUGGGAAGUGCUGGGCUGUGUUUGCUGUGUUCUCCCCUGUGCUGCAUCUGGGCUCUAAUUGCCUACACUCCGUUUUUGUUCAGCCUUUCCAUUAUUCAUUAAUACUUUGUUUACUCUGUAAUGACUCUUUUAGGGUCCUCCGUGCAUCUGGGAUGCAUUUGCCAACACAAUGACAGUUGUUGAGAUUUUGUGAGAGCGUUCCACACAGAUUUUUGUCUUCUUUGGUUGCCUAAGAAGGUUAUCUGCUAAUUCAGUAAAGCAACAAAAUAAGAAGAUCUUGGAUAAAGCCAGAGGAGGAGGAGGAACAUUUCCUGAAGAUUUGGUGCAGCUGAACAGCUCUGUGUCCUGUCAAGCUUGAUAUUGGUUUGGGAUCAUGCACUGUUGGCUGUUGGGCUCUCCUCUGGAAGGAAGAAGAGUGUAAUACUUCGUGUCUGGGAUGAAUUUUAAAAUUUUGUUUAGUAUCUCAAAUUCACAGAGAAGCUAGAAAUACUCAAAGGUAGAAGAGAAUAAAUUUCUCCUUUUGUAGCUUAAUCCUGAAUUUCAGACAGGAUUUGGCACUUUGAGACACUUAUUUCUGGAAAAUAUCCUUAGACACACGUCUGUUCUUCUAAAGUUAUAUUUUACACAGGCAUAGAAACAGCAUCAGGUAAAGACAAAAUUCUUUAUUCCCUUAACAAAAGAAACAUAGCUUCCUUGCUAGUCUUAAUUAAAACAAAGGGGAAUUCAUGAUAUAACUCCCUCCUUCUUUAGAAGUUAAUUUUCACACCUU